rnacentral:rRNA from 1 species
UACGUAGGGGGCAAGCGUUGUCCGGAUUUAUUGGGCGUAAAGAGCGUGUAGGCGGUUAGGUAGGUCCGUUGUGAAAACUCGAGGCUCAACCUCGAGACGCCGAUGGAAACCAUCUGACUAGAGUCCGGAAGAGGAGAGUGGAAUUCCUGGUGUAGCGGUGAAAUGCGCAGAUAUCAGGAGGAACACCGGUGGCGAAGGCGGGUCUCUGGGCCGAUACUGACGCUGAGGCGCGAAAGCGUGGGAGCAAACAGG